rnacentral:tRNA from 1 species
GGGCGAAUGGUCUAGGGGUAUGAUACUCCCUUCGCAUUGCAGAUUUUACAUCAGAUUAGCGUCUGGGAGGGGUCCGGGGUUCAAUUCCCCGUUCGUCCA